rnacentral:rRNA from 1 species
GAGUUUGAUCCUGGCUCAGGACGAACGCUGGCGGCGUGGAUUACGCAUGCAAGUCGGACGAGAAAGUUACCUUCUUGUAAUUAGCACACUGGCGGACGGCUGAGUAACGCGUAGAUAUCUACCUUUUAGUUGGGGACAACUCACGGAAACCUGAGCUAGUACCGAAUGUGGCUGCCUAUCUAAAGGGGGCGCUAGGCUCCCGCUUACACAUGAGUCUGCGUCCAAUUAGUUAGAUGGUGGGGUAAUGGCUCACCAUGGCUCAUGAUUGGUAUGAUGCUUUAACGAGUGGUACGCCCACACUGGGAUUGAUAUACACGGCCACACUCCUACGACACGCUACAGACGAGAAUAGUCUACAAUGUUGCGAAACCCUGAUAGAGCUACACCACGUGUACCACGAAGCUUUUCGAGAGUGUACAGUUCUUUUCUGUAUGAGCAAUGCUUUAUUGGCUAAGAUAUAAUAUAGACAGAUAUUAUGACAUGAAUCAGCCACGGCUAACUCCGUAGCUGCAUGCGCGCUACAAC